UACGUAGGGUGCGAGCGUUAAUCGGAAUUACUGGGCGUAAAGCGUGCGCAUGCGGUUCGUUGUGUCGGCGGUGAAAGCCCCGGGCUUAACCUGGGAAUGGCCGUUGAAACUGGCGAACUGGAGUGUGGCAGAGGGGGGUGGAAUUCCGCGUGUAGCAGUGAAAUGCGUAGAGAUGCGGAGGAACACCGAUGGCGAAGGCAGCCCCCUGGGCUGACACUGACGCUCAGGCACGAAAGCGUGGGGAGCAAACAGG
rnacentral:rRNA from 1 species